rnacentral:rRNA from 1 species
AUUGAACGCUGGCGGCAGGCCUAACACAUGCAAGUCGAGCGGAGCGGCGGACGGGUGAGUAAUGCCUAGGAAUCUGCCUGGUAGUGGGGGAUAACGUCCGGAAACGGGCGCUAAUAUCGCAUACUAUCAGAUGAGCCUAGGGCGGAUUAGCUAGUUGGUGGGGUAAAGGCCUACCAAGGCGACGAUCCGUAACUGGUCUGAGAGGAUGAUCAGUCACAAUGGAGCUGAGAGACGGUCCAUACUCCUACGGGAGGCAGCAGUGGGGAAUAUUGGACAAAGGGCGGAAGCCUGAUCCAGCCGUGCCGCGGGUGUGAAGAAGGUCUUCGGAUUGUGAAGCACUUUAAGUUGGGAGGCGUUACCGACAGAAUGGGCACCGGCUAACUUCGUGACAGCAGCCGCAGUAAUUC